UGGGGAAUUUUGGACAAUGGGGGAAACCCUGAUCCAGCCAUCCCGCGUGUGCGAUGAAGGCCUUCGGGUUGUAAAGCACUUUUGGCAGGAAAGAAACGUCGCGGGUUAAUACCCCGCGAAACUGACGGUACCUGCAGAAUAAGCACCGGCUAACUACGUGCCAGCAGCCGCGGUAAUACGUAGGGUGCAAGCGUUAAUCGGAAUUACUGGGCGUAAAGCGUGCGCAGGCGGUUCGGAAAGAAAGAUGUGAAAUCCCAGAGCUUAACUUUGGAACUGCAUUUUUUAACUACCGGGCUAGAGUGUGUCAGAGGGAGGUGGAAUUCCGCGUGUAGCAGUGAAAUGCGUAGAUAUGCGGAGGAACACCGAUGGCGAAGGCAGCCUCCUGGGAUAACACUGACGCUCAUGCACGAAAGCGUGGGGAGCAAACAGGAUUAGAUACCCUGGUAGUCCACGCCCUAAACGAUGUCAACUAGCUGUUGGGGCCUUCGGGCCUUGGUAGCGCAGCUAACGCGUGAAGUUGACCGCCUGGGGAGUACGGUCGCAAGAUU
rnacentral:rRNA from 1 species